rnacentral:rRNA from 1 species
CCUACGGGAGGCAGCAGUGGGGAAUAUUGCGCAAUGGGGGAAAGCCUGAUGCAGCAACGCCGCGUGGAGGAUGAAGGCCUUCGGGUUGUAAACUUCUGUCUUCUGGGACGAUAAUGACGGUACCAGAGGAGGAAGCCACGGCUAACUACGUGCCAGCAGCCGCGGUAAU